rnacentral:rRNA from 1 species
CCUACGGGGGGCUGCAGUGGGGAAUAUUGGACAAUGGGGGGAACCCUGAUCCAGCCAUGCCGCGUGUGUGAAGAAGGCCCUCGGGUUGUAAAGCACUUUCAGUGAGGAAGAACGCCUGGUGGUUAAUACCCAUCAGGAAAGACAGCACUCACAGAAGAAGCACCGGCUAACUCCGUGCCAGCAGCCGCGGUAAUACGGAGGGUGCGAGCGUUAAUCGGAAUUACUGGGCGUAAAGCGCGCGUAGGUGGCUUGAUAAGCCGGUUGUGAAAGCCCCGGGCUCAACCUGGGAACGGCAUCCGGAACUGUCAAGCUAGAGUGCAGGAGAGGAAGGUAGAAUUCCCGGUGUAGCGGUGAAAUGCGUAGAGAUCGGGAGGAAUACCAGUGGCGAAGGCGGCCUUCUGGACUGACACUGACACUGAGGUGCGAAAGCGUGGGUAGCAAACAGGAUUAGAUACCCCUGUAGUC